GUACGCUAUUCUAGAGUUUGAUCCUGGCUCAGGAUGAACGCUGGCGGCGUGCAUAACACAUUCAAGUCGAACGAGGUAGCAAUACCUAGUGGCGGACGGGUGAGUAACGCGUGAGCAACCUGCCCUUGUGUGGGGGAUACCGUCUGGAAACGGACGUUAAUACCGCAUAACGUUACGGAAUCGCAUGGUUCUGUAACCAAAGAUUUAUUGCGCAAGGAUGGGCUCGCGUUGGAUUAGAUAGUUGGUGAGGUAACGGCCCACCAAGUCUGCGAUCCAUAGCCGGACUGAGAGGUUGAACGGCCACAUUGGAACUGAGAUACGGUUCAG
rnacentral:rRNA from 1 species